AACGUAGGAGACGAGCGUUAUCCGGAUUUAUUGGGCGUAAAGCGUGCGUAGGCGGUGUCUUAAGUUUGUUGUGAAAUCUCCCGGCUUAACCGGGAGGGUGCGGCGAAUACUGAGAUGCUGGAGUGCCGGAGAGGUAAGCGGAAUUCCUGGUGUAGCGGUGAAAUGCGUAGAUAUCAGGAGGAACACCUGCGGUGUAGACGGCUUACUGGACGGUAACUGACGCUGAGGCACGAAAGCGUGGGUAGCAAACAGG
rnacentral:rRNA from 1 species